ensembl:lncRNA
UUUUCCACAGACAAAAGGCAGGCAGAGGACAUGAGGGACAAGGAUCAUAGGGUCUUGCCCUGUUUCAGUAAGGAAACCAGUAAGAUAUGAACACUGACUCUGAGUAUUUGAGAGGCCGGGCAUUUGUAACAACGCUAAGAUAAGAUUGCUGGGUUAUAUGCAAAUCUGACAGUUAUUCAACAGGGACAGGAAUUGUUAUCUGGGGGAUCUUUUCCCAGAUGACAGAAGAAAUUGUUUCUCUAGCAGACAGAAAUACCCAAAUUAACAUGUAACUUCACUAAGUCUGGGACCUUGAAUAAACAGUAUAUGGUGAAUCAAACCACAUUUCUCUAGGUAACCCUCAGGCGGCCUUCAUCUCACAUGGCCUCGAGGAAGGCCCUGUGGCCACGAGCCUUCUUAGUACCUCAGUGAAAGCCAGCCUGGCGAUAAGCUCAUCACCCCUGUAGCGGCUCUUCUGUCAGCAGCUGAGAGGUAAACUAAUGUAAGCGUGCUAGUGUUGGUGACAGGGCCUCACUCACAUCCUCCUCCUGACUCGAUCACUAAUCCACUCCACGGUGAAAGAAGCCGCGAACCAGAGAACUCAGUGAGAAAGGAUUUCCUUGGAGACACAGGCACUGACUGAAGCCCUGGCCUGCUGAACCCAUGCCAACUCACAGGGUUCAUCUACAGGGCCAGGUGACGGAAGUCUCUCCUUCCUCCACUGCAAAGGAAAUGCCUUCAGAUCUGAGUCGUAAAAAAAGUGACAUUUCUAAUUUUUUGGAAAAUAAAUAAAAUAGCUCUGCAAAACAAGAACAUUUGGGUCACUUCCCGGAGCCACCCAAUGAUACCUUCUCUGUGUUUCAGCCAAUGGCUUCAAGGCACCUAAAGUAUCAAUAGGGGUUUUCCAAACUCUGGCUCCUGGACAACUUUACCUGGAGGGCAGCUGCAGGUAAAUCCUGAGUAACCAAGCUGGUGGGUGUUAAAUCAGCUGCCUGGGUCAUACUUAGGUCCUUGGGGUUCCCAGGGACUGAAGAUUCUGCACAAGAAUGGCUCAGGUACAUCCACUGCCAGUCACUUCCAGUAAUCAAAACUUCCCAUAAAUGUCAAUAUGCUUAUAUUGAUGUAUGAACAUGACACACACAUGUAUACACACAUUAUAUGAGUUUCAUUAUAAAGACAUUUUAAUAAAGUUAACUAUAUGCAUAAACACAUAUCGUCUCCAAUUAAGUUUUUGCCCUAAAAUAGGCUAACCUAGUUACCAAAUAAUACAAAGCAGCCAUGAUUUUCAUUGCUGCUAAAAACGACUUUCCAUGAUCAUGACCGAAGGAGAUUUUUUGCAGCUCACAGGUCCCGGAGGUCAGAUUUUCUACAUCACCCGGUGCCAGGGUCACACACACUUAUAAACCUUCUGUCAGACAAAUAGUCUGGACCUGCGGAGGAUUAUUCCAAUUUGGGGCCAUCCAGAGAGAGGAAUCCCCAAGGGAGAAGUCCUGAAAGAGCUCUCCCUCUUUGAGGGGCCCCAGGUCUGCUCCCCACUGUGUCCCUGAGUCACAAGCUUCCCACAGCCUCAAGGGCUCAUUUUGGAGACAACGAGGGCUCUGAAGCUUGG